CCGUUGCCGGCGACCGGCGCACGGGUGAGUAACACGUAUGCAACCUGCCCGUGGCAGGGGGAUAAGCGGGGGAAACCCCGUCUAAUACCGCGUAACGCGGCCUAGGGACAUCCCAAGGCCGCCAAAGGGAGCAAUCCCGGCCACGGAUGGGCAUGCGGCGCAUUAGCUAGUCGGCGGGGUAACGGCCCACCGAGGCGACGAUGCGUAAGGGUUCUGAGAGGAAGGCCCCCCACACUGGUACUGAGACACGGACCAGACUCCUACGGGAGGCAGCAG
rnacentral:rRNA from 1 species